rnacentral:rRNA from 1 species
AACGCUGGCGGCGUGCCUAAUACAUGCAAGUAGAACGCUGAAGAGAGGAGCUUGCUCUUCUUGAAUGAGUUGCGAACGGGUGAGUAACGCGUAGGUAACCUGCCUUGUAGCGGGGGAUAACUAUUGGAAACGAUAGCUAAUACCGCAUAACAAUGGGUGACACAUGUCAUUUAUUUGAAAGGGGCAAUUGCUCCACUACAAGAUGGACCUGCGUUGUAUUAGCUAGUAGGUGAGGUAACGGCUCACCUAGGCGACGAUACAUAGCCGACCUGAGAGGGUGAUCGGCCACACUGGGACUGAGACACGGCCCAGACUCCUACGGGAGGCAGCAGUAGGGAAUCUUCGGCAAUGGGGGCAACCCUGACCGAGCAACGCCGCGUGAGUGAAGAAGGUUUUCGGAUCGUAAAGCUCUGUUGUAAGUCAAGAAUGAGUGUGAGAGUGGAAAGUUCACACUGUGACGGUAGCUUACCAGAAAGGGACGGCUAACUACGUGCCAGCAGCCGCGGUAAUACGUA